rnacentral:rRNA from 1 species
GCUGGGCGGAUUAGUGGCGAACGGGUGAGUAACACGUGAGUAACCUGCCCUUGACUCUGGGAUAAGCCUUGGAAACGAGGUCUAAUACCGGAUAGGAGCGCCUACCGCAUGGUGGGUGCUGGAAAGAAUUUCGGUCAUGGAUGGACUCGCGGCCUAUCAGCUUGUUGGUGAGGUAAUGGCUCACCAAGGCGACGACGGGUAGCCGGCCUGAGAGGGUGACCGGCCACACUGGGACUGAGACACGGCCCAGACUCCUACGGGAGGCAGCAGUGGGGAAUAUUGCACAAUGGGCGAAAGCCUGAUGCAGCGACGCCGCGUGAGGGAUGACGGCCUUCGGGUUGUAAACCUCUUUCAGUAGGGAAGAAGCGAAAGUGACGGUACCUGCAGAAGAAGCACCGGCUAACUACGUGCCAGCAGCCGCGGUAAUACGUAGGGUGCGAGCGUUAUCCGGAAUUAUUGGGCGUAAAGAGCUCGUAGGCGGUUUGUCGCGUCUGUCGUGAAAGUCCGGGGCUUAACCCCGGAUCUGCGGUGGGUACGGGCAGACUAGAGUGCAGUAGGGGAGACUGGAAUUCCUGGUGUAGCGGUGGAAUGCGCAGAUAUCAGGAGGAACACCGAUGGCGAAGGCAGGUCUCUGGGCUGUAACUGACGCUGAGGAGCGAAAGCAUGGGGAGCGAACAGGAUUAGAUACCCUGGUAGUCCAUGCCGUAAACGUUGGGCACUAGGUGUGGGGACCAUUCCACGGUUUCCGCGCCGCAGCUAACGCAUUAAGUGCCCCGCCUGGGGAGUACGGCCGCAAGGCUAAAACUCAAAGGAAUUGACGGGGGCCCGCACAAGCGGCGGAGCAUGCGGAUUAAUUCGAUGCAACGCGAAGAACCUUACCAAGGCUUGACAUGUUUUCGACCGCCGUAGAGAUACGGUUUCCCCUUUGGGGCGGAUUCACAGGUGGUGCAUGGUUGUCGUCAGCUCGUGUCGUGAGAUGUUGGGUUAAGUCCCGCAACGAGCGCAACCCUCGUUCCAUGUUGCCAGCACGUAAUGGUGGGGACUCAUGGGAAACUGCCGGGGUCAAUUCGGAGGAAGGUGGGGACGACGUCAAAUCAUCAUGCCCCUUAUGUCUUGGGCUUCACCAUGCUACAUGGCCGGUAAAUGGGU